GAUGAACGCUAGCUACAGGCUUAACACAUGCAAGUCGAGGGGCAGCAUUAGGUAGCAAUACUGAGAUGGCGACCGGCGCACGGGUGCGUAACGCGUAUCCAACUUUCCCGUUACUAUGGGAUAGCCUUCCGAAAGGGAGAUUAAUACCGGAUGGUGUUGAAAAUUCGCAUGUUUUUUCAACUAAAGAUUUAUCGGUAACGGAUAGGGAUGCGUGACAUUAGGUAGAUGGCGAGGUAACGGCCCACCAUGCCUGCGAUGUCUAGGGGUUCUGGGAGGAAGGUCCCGCGAACUGGACAGGAGACACGGUCCAGAAUCCGACGGGAGGCAGCAGUGAGGAAUAUUGGUCAAUGGUCAGAAGACUGAACCAGCCAAGUAGCGUGAAGGAUGAAGGUUCUAUGGAUUGUAAGCUUCUUUUAUAUAGGAAUAAAGCCCACUUCGUGGAGUGGUGUGUAUGUACUAUAUGAAUAAGCAUCGGCUAACUCCGUGCCGGCCGCCGCAGUAAAAC
rnacentral:rRNA from 1 species